GCUGGGCGUGGUGGCUCAUGCCUGUAAUCCCAGCACUUUGGGAGGCCGAGGUGGGUGGAUCACUUGAGGUCAGGAGUUCGAGACCAGCCUGGCCAACAUGGUGAAACCCCAUCUCUA
rfam:Chlorocebus sabaeus isolate 1994-021 chromosome 12, whole genome shotgun sequence.